rnacentral:snoRNA from 1 species
AUCCCAUGAUGUGGAUAGUCAGCCAUAUAUUCCUGAAGUCGUUCCCACGCCUCAGGAAUGGACUCGUCCCUUGUCUGCUGGAAACUUGAAAUUCUUCCACGAAUGGCGUU